GACGAACCGAGCGAACGUUAUUCGGAAUCACUGGGCUUAAAGGGCGCGUAGGCGGGCCUGAAAGUCAGGGGUGAAAGCCCCCAGCUCAACUGGGGAAGUGCCUCUGAUACUGCGGGCCUCGAGCGAGGUAGGGGCGUGCGGAACUUCCGGUGGAGCGGUGAAAUGCGUAGAUAUCGGAAGGAACAUCGGUGGCGAAAGCGGCGCGCUGGACCUCUUCUGACGCUGAGGCGCGAAAGCCAGGGGAGCGAACGGG
rnacentral:rRNA from 1 species